AUAUACAUAAUUCAUUCACGACAUUUUUUAUUUAUUUUAAACUAAAGUAUUUGUACUUUAAUCGUUUUUAAUCAUCCGACAUCAACCUAUUCAGACCAAAAGAAAGUGCUCAGAUAAGAUCAAUAUUGAAUAAUAACCUACAUCAAAUUGUAUGCAGUGAAGAGUGAAACGGAUUCUUCUAACACUACUAUACUUUCAAGUCUUUCAACUGUUUUAAGUAUCUUCAAAUAUGUUUUUACAGAUAUAGCCGAAGUCUUCUUCAACUAGCAACAUCAUAUCUAUUAUCUUGGACUUGUGUUCAGCUGUAUAACAGACACACACACACACAUAUCAUUUACAAAUAAUGACGACAACAAUAUCUAAAUUGUAUAGCAUUGUAGCUAAUUUUUAGUUUUCGUUUAUCAAUACGAAAUCUCAAAUUUAACUAUCACUUGAAACUUUAAAUAUGAAAUUCGAAAAGUAUAUCCAUGAUAACAUAUUAAUGUAUGUAUA